ensembl:snRNA U6 U6 spliceosomal RNA
GUGCUGGCAUUUGAUUUGACAGCAUGUAUAUUAAAAUUAGAAUGAUACAAAGAUGAUAAGUGUGCCCCUGAGUAAGGAUGACAUGCAAAUUCAUGAAGCAUUCCGUAGGUUU